rnacentral:lncRNA from 10 species
CUGGGGUCAGGACAUAGUGCAGGAGCAGGAUCAGGGCUCAGGGUCAAGGCUCAAUGUGCAACUGCAGUCAGGACACAGUGUGGGGUGAAGGUUGGGGCUCAGCUAGCACCAGAGUAGAGGCUGUGUCCAGGUUAAGACUGUAACGCAAGACAGAAAACACACACAGCCAUACGAGGCCACUGUCAGCCGUGCUGGGUAUCUUUAUUUAUUAAGCUUUAUUUUCUGUAGAAGCAAGGUUUUGCUAUGCUGUCCAGGCUGGUCUCGAACUCCUGGCCUCAAGUGAUCUUCCUGCCUCAGCCUCCCAAAGUGCUGUGAUUACAGGCAUGAGCCACUGUGCCCAGGCCAUGGUGGGUAUUUUUAAUGGACAAGAACCCAGAAUGAAGAUCUACAGAGGCUUCCUGGAGGUGGUGGGACUGAGGUCAUCUGGUUUGGCAGGAUGGAAGGCCAGCUUUCCCAGGGUGGAACCAUCAGAGUGGAGGCCCCGCCCAGAACCAACAGCAGCACCAUGCGCACCCAUAGAAGGGGUAGCCUGGAGGGAGGCUGAAAGCAGCGGUGCCUGCCACGCCCGAGAAGCAGGCUCCAACUCACGUGCUCGUCAGCAGCCGCACUGCUGCCUGCUUUGUCAUUUUAUGCUUAUGUAAAAAAAUACUUUUUGCAAGAAAAAUCUACAGGUACAAAAUGUCAUCCCAGCCCCAUACAGUACCAAGUAAUAUAUAGGCAUAUAUAUAUAUAUAUAUAUAUUUAUGUAUUUAUAACAGAAAAUUGGAUAGAAAUUAUUCCA